AUUGAACGCUGGCGGCAUGCUUUACACAUGCAAGUCGAACGGUAACAGGCCGCAAGGUGCUGACGAGUGGCGAACGGGUGAGUAAUGCAUCGGAACGUGCCCAGUCGUGGGGGAUAACUACUCGAAAGAGUAGCUAAUACCGCAUACGAUCUAUGGAUGAAAGCGGGGGACCGUAAGGCCUCGCGCGAUUGGAGCGGCCGAUGUCAGAUUAGGUAGUUGGUGGGGUAAAGGCUCACCAAGCCAACGAUCUGUAGCUGGUCUGAGAGGACGACCAGCCACACUGGGACUGAGACACGGCCCAGACUCCUACGGGAGGCAGCAGUGGGGAAUUUUGGACAAUGGGCGCAAGCCUGAUCCAGCAAUGCCGCGUGCAGGAAGAAGGCCUUCGGGUUGUAAACUGCUUUUGUACGGAACGAAACGGCUCUGGUUAAUACCCGGGGCUAAUGACGGUACCGUAAGGAUAAGCACCGGCUAACUACGUG
rnacentral:rRNA from 1 species